GAUGAACGCUGGCGGCGUGCUUAACACAUGCAAGUCGAGCGAGAAGUCUUUAAAAGAUUCUUCUGCUGAAAUUGAAAAUGGAAAACGACGGACGGGUUAGUAACGCGUAGGCAACCUGCCCCAUACAAAAGGAUAGCACUUGUAAACGAAUAUUAAUACCUUAUGAAAGUUAGCUAGUGCAUGCUAGGUGGGUCAAGGAUUUAUCGGCAUGGGAUGGGCCUGCGUAUGAUUAGCUAGUUGGGCAGGUAACGGCUAACGAAGGCGACGAUCAGUAGCCGACGUGAGAGAGUGAACGGCCACAUAGGAAAUGAGGCACGGGACAAGUGCCUACGGGAGGCAGCAGUGAGGAAGAUUGAACAAUGGGGGCAAGACUGAUGAACCAACGCCGCGUGAACGCGGAAGGCCUUUGGGUCGUAAAGUUCUGUUGUAGGGGAUGAAAACUGACAGUAACCGAGGAGAAAGCACCGGCUAACUCCGUG
rnacentral:rRNA from 1 species